GCAUAAAAUGAUUGUAAAAGAAUAAGAGAUUCUAUAAAAUUAUUAAAAGAAUUUCGAAAAUGAACGUUAGAGACACAAUUUGUGUUUGUAGAGAACACCAACUGACAAGAAAUUUAAAAUUUUGACACUGAGAUGUUCACAAAUGUCCUCCAUUCCAUUUUUCUCAAAUAACUUUGGCUUUUUAUUGUAAAAAUUUCUAAAAUUCGCCGCAA